UACACACCGCCCGUCACAUCACGAAAGUCAGUUGUACCGGAAGCCGGUGCGUCAACCGCAAGGGGGGUAGCCGUCCAUGGUAUGAUUGGUGAUUGGGGUG
rnacentral:rRNA from 1 species